UGGGGAAUAUUGCACAAUGGGCGAAAGCCUGAUGCAGCGACGCCGCGUGAGGGAUGACGGCCUUCGGGUUGUAAACCUCUUUCAGCAGGGAAGAAGCGCAAGUGACGGUACCUGCAGAAGAAGCACCGGCUAACUACGUGCCAGCAGCCGCGGUAAUACGUAGGGUGCGAGCGUUGUCCGGAAUUAUUGGGCGUAAAGAGCUCGUAGGCGGCUUGUCGCGUCGACUGUGAAAACCCGCAGCUCAACUGCGGGCCUGCAGUCGAUACGGGCAGGCUAGAGUUCGGUAGGGGAGACUGGAAUUCCUGGUGUAGCGGUGAAAUGCGCAGAUAUCAGGAGGAACACCGGUGGCGAAGGCGGGUCUCUGGGCCGAUACUGACGCUGAGGAGCGAAAGCGUGGGGAGCGAAC
rnacentral:rRNA from 1 species